rnacentral:rRNA from 1 species
CGCCUGCCCUGUGACGAAAGUUUAACGGCCGCGGUAUUUUGACCGUGCGAAGGUAGCGCAAUCACUUGUCUUUUAAAUAGAGACCUGUAUGAAUGGCAUAACGAGGGCUAAGCUGUCUCCUUUUUCCAGUCAAUGAAAUUGAUCUGCCCGUGCAGAAGCGGGCAUCCCAACAUAAGACGAGAAGACCCUAUGGAGCUUUAGACGCCGGAGUAGACCACGUUAAACCCCCACGACAAGGUGGACCCAAACCAAGUGACCCCUGCUCCUAUGUCUUUGGUUGGGGCGACCGCGGAGAAACAAAAAUCCCCCGUGCAGAAAAGGGCAACCCCCCUAAAGCAAGAGCCACAGCUCUAGAGAACAGAACAUCUGACUAAAAAGAUCCGGCAACGCCGAUCAACGGACCGAGUUACCCUAGGGAUAACAGCGCAAUCCCCUUUUAGAGCCCAUAUCGACAAGGGGGUUUACGACCUCGAUGUUGGAUCAGGACUUCCUAAUGGUGCAGCCGCUAUUA